UACGGGGGGGGCAAGCGUUGUUCGGAAUUACUGGGCGUAAAGGGCUCGUAGGCGGCCAACUAAGUCAUACGUGAAAUCCCCCGGCUUAACCGGGGAACUGCGUCUGAUACUGGAUGGCUUGAGUUCGGGAGAGGGAUGCGGAAUUCCAGGUGUAGCGGUGAAAUGCGUAGAUAUCUGGAGGAACACCGGUGGCGAAGGCGGCAUCCUGGACCAACACUGACGCUGAGGAGCGAAAGCCAGGGGAGCAAACGGG
rnacentral:rRNA from 1 species